rnacentral:rRNA from 1 species
UACGAAGGGUUCAAGCGUUGUUCGGCAUCACUGGGCGUAAAGCGCACGCCGGCGGAUCGAUAAGUCGGGGGUGAAAGCCCGGGGCUCAACCUUGGAAUUGCCUUCGAUACUGUCGGUCUCGAGUCCGGGAGAGGUGAGUGGAAUUCCUAGUGUAGAGGUGAAAUUCGUAGAUAUUAGGAAGAACACCAGUGGCGAAGGCGGCUCACUGGACCCGUACUGACGCUCAGGGGCGAAAGCGUGGUGAGCAAACAGG